rnacentral:rRNA from 1 species
UACGUAGGUGGCAAGCGUUGUCCGGAAUUAUUGGGCGUAAAGCGCGCGCAGGCGGUCCCUUAAGUCUGAUGUGAAAGCCCACGGCUCAACCGUGGAGGGUCAUUGGAAACUGGGGGACUUGAGUGCAAAAGAGGAAAGUGGAAUUCCAUGUGUAGCGGUGAAAUGCGUAGAGAUGUGGAGGAACACCAGUGGCGAAGGCGACUUUCUGGUCUGUAACUGACGCUGAGGCGCGAAAGCGUGGGGAGCAAACAGG